GUCAAGGGCAGGUGUAGUAACUGUCUCACCCUCACUAGAGGCAACACCUUGUAAAGAGGAAAUAUCUAUAGUUGAAGUGCCCUCAGGGUCAGAAGAGUCAGUGUGAUCAAAAUCAGAGGCAGCAAGGAUCACAAUAGGACUUGAGGUAGAGGUCUUGGGACCUUUAAUCCUUAGAGUCAUGCAUCCUAAGCACCUAGGAAAGCAG
rnacentral:misc_RNA from 1 species